rnacentral:rRNA from 1 species
CCUACGGGAGACAGCAGUGAGGAAUAUUUGUCAAUGGACGAGAGUCUGAACCAGCCACGUAGCGUGAAGGAUGACUGCCCUAUGGGUUGUAAACUUCUUUUAUAAAGGAAUAAAACGAGGCACGUGUGCCUUUUUGCAUGUACUUUAUGAAUAAGGAUCGGCUAACUCCGUGCCAGCAGCCGCGGUAAUACGGAGGAUCCGAGCGUUAUCCGGAUUUAGUGGGUUUAAAGGGAGCGUAGAUGGGUUGUUAAGUCAGUUGUGAAAGUUUGCGGCUCAACCGUAAAAUUGCAAUUGAUACUGGCAGUCUUGAGUACAGUUGAGGUAGGCGGAAUUCGUGGUGUAGCGGUGAAAUGCUUAGAUAUCACGAAGAACCCCGAUUGCGAAGGCAGCUUACUAAACUGUGACUGACAUUGAUGCUCGAAAGUGUGGGUAUCAAACAGGAUUAGAUACCCCUGUAGUC